GCCGGGCGUGGUGGUGUGCGCCUAUAGUCUCAGCUACUCAGGAGGCUGAGGCAAGAGGAUCGCUUGAGCCCAGGAGGCAGAGGUUGCAGUGAGUGCCACUGCACUCCACCCUGGGCAACAAAGUGAGACCCUGUCUCAA
rnacentral:SRP_RNA from 1 species